rnacentral:rRNA from 1 species
AACGAACGCUGGCGGCGUGGAUAAGACAUGCAAGUCGAACGGGAACUUCAGCUGUAGCAAUACAGUUGCAGUUUUAGUGGCGAACGGGUGCGUAACACGUGGGCAAUCUGCCGAGAAGUGGGGGAUAGCUCGCCGAAAGGCGAAUUAAUACCGCAUAUGAUCAGCUAAGACAUCUUAGCGACAUCAAAGCCGGGGGCAACCUGGCGCUUUUUGAGGAGCCCGCGGCCUAUCAGCUAGUUGGUGAGGUAACGGCUCACCAAGGCUAUGACGGGUAGCUGGUCUGAGAGGACGACCAGUCACACUGGAACUGAGACACGGUCCAGACACCUACGGGUGGCAGCAGUCGAG